rnacentral:rRNA from 1 species
UAGGGAAUCUUCCGCAAUGGGCGAAAGCCUGACGGAGCAACGCCGCGUGAGUGAUGAAGGUUUUCGGAUCGUAAAGCUCUGUUGCCAGGGAAGAACGUUCUCUAGAGUAACUGCUAGAGAAGUGACGGUACCUGAGAAGAAAGCCCCGGCUAACUACGUGCCAGCAGCCGCGGUAAUACGUAGGGGGCAAGCGUUGUCCGGAAUUAUUGGGCGUAAAGCGCGCGCAGGCGGCGAUUUAAGUCUGGUGUUUAAACCAUGGGCUCAACCUGUGGUCGCAUCGGAAACUGGAUGGCUUGAGUGCAGAAGAGGAAAGUGGAAUUCCACGUGUAGCGGUGAAAUGCGUAGAGAUGUGGAGGAACACCAGUGGCGAAGGCGACUUUCUGGGCUGUAACUGACGCUGAGGCGCGAAAGCGUGGGGAGCAAACAGGAUUAGAUACCCUGGUAGUCCACGCCGUAAACGAUGAGUGCUAGGUGUUAGGGGUUUC